rnacentral:rRNA from 1 species
GACAGAGGGUGCAAACGUUGUUCGGAAUUACUGGGCGUAAAGCGCGUGUAGGCUGCUUCGAAAGUCGGAUGUGAAAUCCCCGGGCUCAACCUGGGAAUUGCAUUCGAGACUGCGUAGCUGGGGUGCGGAAGAGGGAAGCGGAAUUUCCGGUGUAGCGGUGAAAUGCGUAGAUAUCGGAAAGAACACCAACGGCGAAAGCACUCUGCUGGGCCGACACUGACACUGAGAGACGAAAGCUAGGGGAGCGAAUGGG